rnacentral:rRNA from 1 species
UACGAAGGGGGCUAGCGUUGCUCGGAAUCACUGGGCGUAAAGCGCACGUAGGCGGCUUCUUAAGUCAGGGGUGAAAUCCUGGAGCUCAACUCCAGAACUGCCUUCGAUACUGCGGGUCUCGAGUCCGGGAGAGGUGAGUGGAAUUCCUAGUGUAGAGGUGAAAUUCGUAGAUAUUAGGAAGAACACCAGUGGCGAAGGCGGGUCUCUGGGCAGUAACUGACGCUGAGGAGCGAAAGCGUGGGGAGCGAACAGG